UGAGGAAUAUUGGACAAUGGGCGGAAGCCUGAUCCAGCCAUGCCGCGUGCAGGAAUAAGGUCCUAUGGAUUGUAAACUGCUUUUAUACGAGAAGAAAUAGUGCUACGUGUAGUAUGUUGACGGUAUCGUAUGAAUAAGCACCGGCUAACUCCGUGCCAGCAGCCGCGGUAAUACGGAGGGUGCAAGCGUUAUCCGGAAUCAUUGGGUUUAAAGGGUCCGUAGGCGGUUUAAUAAGUCAGUGGUGAAAUCCAGUCGCUCAACGAUUGAACUGCCAUUGAUACUGUUAGACUUGAAUUAUUGUGAAGUAACUAGAAUAUGUAGUGUAGCGGUGAAAUGCUUAGAUAUUACAUGGAAUACCAAUUGCGAAGGCAGGUUACUAAUGGUAUAUUGACGCUGAUGGACGAAAGCGUGGGUAGCGAACA
rnacentral:rRNA from 1 species